GGAAUAUGAGAGAGAGAGAUGGAAUAUGAGAGAGAGAGAGAUGGAAUAUGAGAGACAGAGAGAUGGAAUAUGAGAGAGAGAGAGAUGGAAUAUGAGAGAGAGAGAGAUGGAAUAUGAGAGAGAGAGAGAUGGAAUAUGAGAGACAGAGAGAUGGAAUAUGAGACACAGAGAGAUGGAAUAUGAGAGACAGAGAGAUGGAAUAUGAGAGACAGAGAUGGAAUAUGAGAGAGAGAGAGAUGGAAUAUGAGAGAGAGAGAGAUGGAAUAUGAGAGACAGAGAGAUGGAUAUAGAGACUAUUAGAGGGAGAAACAAUAAAGGAGGGAGAGCGAGAAAGGAGGAAAGUAAGAAACCAUAGAAAGGCAGGUGAGAGACAAUGAGGAAAUUGAGAGAGGAGAAAGUAAGGGCCAUUAAAAACACAAUUUUGGCUCUGCGGUAAUGUCAGGCAGAGGCUUCAGCUGUUGUUGAUGUUGUGUGUCUUUGUGUUGGGCUUUUCAUUCAAACCAAAUCAUGUGGCAUGGUGUUCUCAUCCUCUGGUGUAAAAUACCUUCAAGGAUCAAAUGUUGAUUCAGAUUGGAAAUAUUGAUUCUUAACGGCACUUCAUUGACACAUUUUAGAAUGCAUUCAUGUGCUUGUCAUUGCUUGUCAUUUUAAUCACAUGCACGUUUUAAAGCUAUUGACAACACAUUAGCAUACUGCCUUUAGGGCUUUCACAACCACACGAUAAAUGCAUUCACUCACAUGAUGCACUUAAGAAUGUCUUACGGGCGAUAUCAGUAAGAAGGGCACCUCUUAAUGUAGGAGACUCACAUAGAGAACCUGAAUAAUGUUGGUCCUUUACUACAUGUCCCAUGAGGCUAUGCAACAAGGUAUCAUAUUAGAAUGGCUGGCAGGCUGGGAGAACUUUCAAGAAGAAGAAAGUUGGGGUUUUCCUUAGACCAGCAUGCUCUAUAAGUAUGGUCCAUGAUGGAGCCCUGCCCAAGGUGGACACAGAAAAGCUUGUUUACUGUGUUAUCCUCUGCUGGAUAGGUUGUGUGGA
rnacentral:lncRNA from 1 species